CAGUAAUAAACAUUUAGUGUGCAAAAACUUUUAGUACAUCUAAACUAUAGUAACUUGUGUCUUCCUUACAAGUGGUGUCAUCCACCAUUCUUUCUCUCCCCUCUUAAAAAGUGGGAAAAGGAAGACUGCUGGACCACACCACAAGUUAUAACAACAAAAAAAGGUUCAUUCAAACUUUACUCUGCUGCAUGGACUGUAUCAGCUUGUAUUCAGGCAGGUCAAGUUGGGCGAUACAAGUGUGUGCUGGAAGGAAGCUGUCAUCUGCUGGCUUUUGGAUUAUCAACCUGGAAGCCUGGAAGUGAUAGAAAGAAGGAAGAGGAGAAGAUAGAUGAUAAUAAGGAGGGAAGAAAGAGAAAGAGAGAGAGAGAAGACAACAAAGAAGGAAGAGGACAUGAGAGAAGAAUGAGGAUAAUAGAAGAGGAAGAAAAAAAGAAGAAAUGAGAGAAAGAUAGAAAAGAUAAAUAAAAGAAAAAUAAAUCCUCCCCCCUGCCCCCCUUUCUCUCUCUCUCUCUCUCUCUCUCUCUCUCUCUCUCUCUCUCUCUCUCUCUCUCUCUCUCUCUCUCUCUCUCUCUCUCUCCCACAAUCCACAGACCCACAGUAUGUCUCCCACAGUAUGUUGACAAACCCAGUCACUCCCCACAGCCUCUCACAAAUAUACCUCUCUCUCUCUCUCUCUCUCUCUCUCUCUCUCUCUCUCUCUCUCUCUCUCUCUCUCUCUCUCUCUCUCUCUCUCUCCAUGCCUAAGAGAGGAACCUGGUCAGUCCCUGCGAGAAAUUUUGCAACAUUUUCUGUUCAAGCAAGAGUUCAUUAAAGACUUCCCAUUCCCAAACAGUACAAAUGACUGGAUGGUCUGGAAAGUAUUCACUCUGGAAAUACAGUGAGGGGUUAAUGAAAGGAAGAAUAUUGGAAAA